rnacentral:lncRNA from 12 species
UUUGCAGCAUCCAGUAGAACUAACAUUUCUACAACUGCAAAGAAAGAGUUUCCAAAAUUUUUGACUCAUCUUGAAGAUUUCUCCUGGAGAGGCUAAGGUAUUGAAACACACCCUU